rnacentral:lncRNA from 1 species
AUGGAGAGGUGCCAGGGGGAAAGGCACAAAGCAUCUGGUAUAUGGUUGAGUGGUGAGGUUGCUGGGGCCCAUUUAGAGUCUAAAAUGGGAGUCCGGUUUGGGCGAACUCGACCGACCUUGCUUAAGCCCAGAGAACCGGUUUCUGAAUGUAUUGCUAAGGACCUGAAGUUGACAGUGUGGCGGAUGCUACGUUGCAUUCUGUCAAACCGCCUUGCCAUCGCCACAACCUGGACUGAGGCAGAGCAUAAGGCCUGUUUCAGGGACUUGUUUCUGAAGACCAUUCUUCACAAAGCCAUUUGGAAAAACCUGCAACCCAGGAUGCCAUGGAUAAAAGGGUCCAGAUUCAGGUCAACCUUUUGCUGAAAGAGGCCUCCGAUUGUGAAGGUGGGAGAAGGCGGUGCACAGGGGAGAGGGAUCCGCUGCAGUGAGAGUCAGCAUCAAGUCUCGGACCACCUAUCUCAAAACCAGCCUCUACUCCCAAGCCACAAGACUGAUCCAACAGCUGAACCCUGGGCUGACUCCUGCACCUUACCACACACUUACCAUUUAGUCAUAUUCUGUACACAUAAAUCACUUUAGUCUACCGGACCAAUGAAGUAGUUAUGUCAACUGCACUAUGUAGAUAUACUAUCAUUAUAAUUCUAUGCUGCUACUGCAUUGUAGUUAUUCCACUCUAUGGGCAAAACAUUUCCAUACUAUAUGAAUAUAGGCUAUUUUGGUUUUAUCUUAAGGCUGUUUUUGUUUUAUCUUAUUCUUAUUUAUAUCUUAUAUCUUUUUUUGAUCUGCAUGCUUCUUUUGUACAUGUUUUUAUUGUUCUAUUGUUAGUAGGUCACACAGGAAAGGAAUCAAAUAAUUGACAUUGUACAUUUUACAAUGUCACUUAUUUGAUUCCAUUACAAUGUCACAUUAAUUACUGUGUGAGGAGCAUGUCAAUCAUUUUUUGUUGUUAUUGAUUUUACUGGAUUUAUUUGUCAUCACCUGUUGAUCCAGGGAACCAGGACUAGCCCUCAUUACCUGAUAUAUUUUGCACACACAUAAUCAUUUACAGUACUUGUUAGUACUCAUUGGAAAUCACAAUUCGUUUUUCAAAUGGACAUGGCAUCCAACGUAUCUUAAAUAAUAAAAGUCAAUAAAUAAAUAAGCGGUGAAAGGGAGUAGGCACGCUGCUGUCUUGACGCUGACAAAGCACCUUGCCUCCGACUUUCAGCUGUACUGUCGCCAGUCGGAAGAAGGACAGGUGAAGGAUGGGGUGGGCUGUGUGAGGAAAACAGCACUUGAACAGCAGGAGCACGGCUGCCGCUUGACAAAGUGGCAUAUCGCGGCCGCCCCAUGAAUGAGGCGAUUGGCAAAAAAGCUGUCGUACGACCACUCGGGAGGGAUGCCGGCCUCCCGAUUGCUCAUUGCGAACUCGGUAGCAAAGUGCAAAGAAAUGUCAAUUCUGGUCAGGGGGAGUUCCCGCUUGAAUUUGGUUAAAAGGGCAGUGAAUUCGCUCAUACUUUGAGAACUUGUUAGCAAGCUCCUGAGACACAUAAUUUUUCUCUCAGAGAUUAUUAACUGAAGACACGUGUAACUACUUUAAGUCUUAUUUAGUGAUAAUCAUUUACUCUGUGUUAUUCUGUAAUGUUUCAUGUAUUUCAUGUACACUGUAAUAGUUUGAGUGUAAAUUAUUUCAUGACUAAUAAAUCCUAUUAGUGAGUGAAUG